rnacentral:lncRNA from 1 species
AUGUUAAUGGCAUACUUUGGGCAGUGUGGGCAGUCAGUCAGCCUUAUGGAAACUUUAUUAAAGGGAAGAUGUUUUCCAGGCUUUGUUUUUUCUCAUGGACUGAACAUCAUUGGAGACCAGAAGAAAACCAGGAUGUCCCCGGACCUAAGACACAGGCUGUAUUCAUGGAAGUAUACACAUAGGCAAACCAAAAAGGAAAGAAAAAUAAAUAAAUAACCAACUCAGCAACACAGAUUUUUGGACUUCCUGCAGAUAAUUGAAAAAAAAAUAAAUAAAUAAAUUGGGAUGCCA